rnacentral:lncRNA from 1 species
GGAAGUUUUGUGUACAAAAAUUGGACAAAUUAUUUGCCAUUGAUAUUAUUUGUGGUGGUACCUGAAAAAUGGGGAUUUUUGCAUUGAAGUUAGAAGGUUGAGAGAAAUUGAAGUGAUAAUGCAGUUCAUCAAUUUCAAAUCUGUCAAAAGUUAUUUUCCAAUUAAAGUCCCUACAAGUAAUGAGCGAUUCUUAUUAAAUCUAGUCAAUUACCGUUUCUUUUUUAGGAUUCUGAAGUUAUUUCGGACUGCAAAAAUCUUAUAAAGGCUUUAAAGUUUCAAAUAUUUUGAAAAUAAAUGAGUAAUGGCUUUUAAUUUUACAAUUUUUUUAGUUGAAUUGAACCCAAUUUUCAACUUGUUUCUCAGUUGAACCGGUCAAUAUGAUCUGAUUUGAUAAGUAUAUUUAUUUCCCAUUUUACACAAGGUCGCUGGUGGAACAUUUUUUUUUCUCGUUGUUCUUCGAAAUAGUUGUUGCUAAAUUACAUUCAUAUCUCCUUGUAUACAUCCAAUCAAAUGUACAUAAACAAACAAAAAAAAAAUGCCCAUCGGGCACAGCUCAACUGGUGGAUCAAUCAACAUUGUCUUGCUUCUAGCGGCAGGGUGGAAAGUUCGAUUCCUGGUGGAAACCUGUUGUCAAAAAAUUUGGUAUGGAGCAAUCACUGUGGAGGAGGGUCUCUUGUGCGCAGAAGUGUACAGUCAAUGGAGGGAACUUGUGAUCCAGUUGAGGUAUAACCCGCGAUUUACCCCCUCCAAGGCUUUAGGGGCAUGAGUUUUGGGGGUCCAGAAUUUAGUCUGGUGUAAGUUGGGAUACCUGGAUAAAAAAAUAUAUAUAUAAUAAUAAUAAUAAUGUACAUAAACAAACCUCAUUACUAUAAAUUGUACACAAGAUAAGUAACAAAUAAUUGUCAAACUUGAACUUUUGUCAUUCACCGAGUCCAAUCAAUCAUAUUUUUCAGUGGAGAAAUGGAUGUGAUUUAUAUCAAUCGGACUAAAUAAUUAUGAUAUGACUCUCUACAUGAGCAUGAGGAUUGAUCAUCCAAAUUAUUUAUUUAUUCGAUCUAAGGUAAAAAGUAAUAAUUAUUCUCCCAAGUAAUUGAUCCCGUUGCUCGUUUCAAUACACAAAUCAAGCGACCGAGUUUAAGAUAAUUUCUCAUGAUCCAAUGACCCUUUAAAUCAUCAAAUAAAACCCAAGUGGAAUCUAUUAAAACUAAUAUGGUGACUCCUAAAGGAGCCGUGUGAACAUCUCUCUCUCUCUGUUUUAAUGCAAUUUAUCGUAUGUUUUUCAAAUCCGUUUUAAAAUUUGAAGAAUCAUCUCUUCAAAUAAAAUUCUCUUAUUUGUUGUAAAAUGUAAGUUUAUUAGGGUUUAGAUGUAAAUGACAAUUAUACCCCUGCAACUUUAGAAAUUAUUACUGUUGUAUCACUUAUUCUGUCUUAUAAAUACAGGGCUUUGGUUUUUAAUAAAACACACACAAGUCUAUUAACUUCUCUCUAUUCUCUUCUCUCUUCUUCAUUUUUAUAACACGUUAUCAGUACGAUAGCUUAAUUUUCAAAGUUUAGUAAAUGUAAUAAUUUUUAUAAAUAUGAAUAUUUAUCACGUGUACCAAAAUUAAUUUGGUAGCAUGUGAAAUAUUUCAAUAUACAUAUGCAUCAUAACGAAGUUGCUUCUUCUUCUCUACUUUUUAUCGGCAUGCAUAUUAAUCCUAAUUCAUGUUUGUAUGUGUAAUCUGAACACGUAUUAAUUCACUUUUUUUAUUCAUAUACGAUCAUGUUUUCC